GAGUUUGAUCAUGGCUCAGGAUGAACGCUAGCGGCAGGCUUAACACAUGCAAGUCGAGGGGUAACAGGGAAGCUUGCUUCCGCUGACGACCGGCGCACGGGUGCGUAACGCGUAUGCAAUCUGCCUCAUACUGAGGGAUAGCCCAGAGAAAUUUGGAUUAACACCUCAUGGUAUUAUGAUAAGGCAUCUUAUUAUAAUUAAAGGUUACGGUAUGAGAUGAGCAUGCGUCCUAUUAGCUAGUUGGUAUGGUAACGGCAUACCAAGGCGACGAUAGGUAGGGGCCCUGAGAGGGGGAUCCCCCACACUGGUACUGAGACACGGACCAGACUCCUACGGGAGGCAGCAGUGAGGAAUAUUGGACAAUGGAGGGAACUCUGAUCCAGCCAUGCCGCGUGCAGGAAGACUGCCCUAUGGGUUGUAAACUGCUUUUAUACAGGAAGAAACACUCCCUCGUGAGGGAGCUUGACGGUACUGUAAGAAUAAGCAUCGGCUAACUCCGUGCCAGCAGCCGCGGUAAUACGGAGGAUGCAAGCGUUAUCCGGAAUCAUUGGGUUUAAAGGGUCCGUAGGCGGAUUAAUAAGUCAGAGGUGAAAGCCAGCAGCUCAACUGUUGAACUGCCUUUGAUACUGUUAGUCUUGAGUUAUUGUGAAGUGGUUAGAAUAUGUAGUGUAGCGGUGAAAUGCAUAGAUAUUACAUAGAAUACCAAUUGCGAAGGCAGAUCACUAACAAUAUACUGACGCUGAUGGACGAAAGCGUGGGGAGCGAACAGGAUUAGAUACCCUGGUAGUCCACGCCGU
rnacentral:rRNA from 1 species